rnacentral:tRNA from 2 species
GCCGGGAUGGCGGAAUUGGUAGACGCACGGGACUCAAAAUCCCGCGGUGGCGACACCAUGGGGGUUCGAUUCCCCCUCCCGGCACCA